UUUAGAGUUUGAUCCUGGCUCAGGAUGAACGCUAGCGGCGUGCCUAAGGUAUGCAAGUCGUAUGUGAGCCCGACGCAAGUCGGGCCGAACAUGGCGAACGGGUGAGUAACGCGUGGGAAUCUGCCUAGAAGACAGAGAUAACCCCGAGAAAUCGGGGCUAAUAUCUGAUAAUCUCGCAAGAGCAAAGCAGCAAUGCACUUCUAGAUGAGCCCGCGCCCUAUCAGCUUGUUGGUGAGGUAAUGGCUCACCAAGGCUAUGACGGGUAGGGGGUCUGAGAGGAUGUCCCUCCACAAUGGCACUGAGACAAGGGCCAUACGCCUACGGGUGGCAGCAAUUAGGAAUCUUGCACAAUGGACGAAAGUCUGAUGCAGCGACGCCGCGUGAAGGAUGAAGGCCGGAAGGUUGUAAACUUCUUAAUUCCCCGUAAGGGGGAGGAUUCAGUCACGGCAAACUACGUGCCAGCAGCAGCGGUAAAACGUAGGUGACGAGCGUUAUCCGGAAUUAUUGGGCGUAAAGAGUGCGUAGGUGGUUCGAUUAGUCCCGACUUAAAUCCCCUGGCUCAACCAGGGAAGCGUCGGGAUACUGUCGGACUCGAGGGAGGUAGGGGGUGGCGGAAUCUUGCAAGGAGGGGUGAAAUCCGAUGAUCUGCGAGAGAACACCAAAGGCGAAGGCAGCCACCUGGGCCUUUCCUGACACUGAGGCACGAAAGCUAGGGGAGCGAAACGGAUUAGAUACCCGUGUAGUCCUAGCCGUAAACGAUGGACACUAGCUAUCCGGUUUCGGGUAGCGUAAGCUAACGCGUUAAGUGUCCCGCCUGGGGAGUACGGCCGCAAGGCUAAAACUCAAAGGAAUUGACGGGGUUCCGCACAAGCGGUGGAGCAUGUGGUUUAAUUCGAUGAUAACCGAAGAACCUCACCAGGGUUUGACAUUUUGUUGUAAUCCCGACGAAAGUCGGGGCCUCCCGCAAGGGACAGCAGAACAGGUGUUGCAUGGCUGUUGUCAGUUCGUGGCGUGAGCUGUAUGGUUAAGUCCCACAACGAACGCAACCCCUAGUCCGUGUUAAAAAUGUCACGGACGACUGCCCGGGCAACCGGGAGGAAGGAGGGGACGACUUCAAGUCAGCAUGGCCUUUAUGCCCUGGGCUACACACAUGCUACAAUGGCGGCCACAACGGGUUGCAAAACAGUAAUGUUGAGCUAAUCCAAAAAAGCCGUCUCAGUCCGGAUUGAGGGCUGCAACUCGCCCUCAUGAAGUAGGAAUCGCUAGUAAUGGCCGGUCAGCUAUACGGCCGUGAAUACGUUCUCGGAACUUGUACACACCGCCCGUCAAAUGGGGAAAGUUGGGGUUCGCUGAAGAUUCGCGUUAAGCGGGUCGAGGCGGAAACCAGCGAUCAACAUUAAGUCGUAACAAGGUAGCCGUAGGGGAAUCUGCGGCUGGAUCACCUCCUUUCUAAGGAG
rnacentral:rRNA from 1 species